CCUACGGGCGGCAGCAGUGGGGAAUAUUGGACAAUGGGGGCAACCCUGAUCCAGCCAUGCCGCGUGUGUGAAGAAGGCCCUCGGGUUGUAAAGCACUUUCAGUGAGGAAGAACGCCUGGUGGUUAAUACCCAUCAGGAAAGACAUCACUCACAGAAGAAGCACCGGCUAACUCCGUGCCAGCAGCCGCGGUAAUACGGAGGGUGCGAGCGUUAAUCGGAAUUACUGGGCGUAAAGCGCGCGUAGGUGGCUUGAUAAGCCGGUUGUGAAAGCCCCGGGCUCAACCUGGGAACGGCAUCCGGAACUGUCAAGCUAGAGUGCAGGAGAGGAAGGUAAAAUUCCCGGUGUAGCGGUGAAAUGCGUAGAGAUCGGGAGGAAUACCAGUGGCGAAGGCGGCCUUCUGGACUGACACUGACACUGAGGUGCGAAAGCGUGGGUAGCAAACAGGAUUAGAUACCCUUGUAGUC
rnacentral:rRNA from 1 species